rnacentral:rRNA from 1 species
UAAGGAAUAUUGGUCAAUGGACGCAAGUCUGAACCAGCCAUGCCGCGUGAAGGAUGAAGGUCCUCUGGAUUGUAAACUUCUUUUAUAGGGGACGAAAAAAGGGAAUUCUUUCUCGUCUGACGGUACCCUAGGAAUAAGCACCGGCUAACUCCGUGCCAGCAGCCGCGGUAAUACGGAGGGUGCAAGCGUUAUCCGGAUUUACUGGGUUUAAAGGGUGCGUAGGUGGGUCUGUAAGUCAGUGGUGAAAUCUCCGGGCUUAACCCGGAAACUGCCAUUGAUACUAUAGGUCUUGAAUACUCUGGAGGUAAGCGGAAUAUGUCAUGUAGCGGUGAAAUGCUUAGAUAUGACAUAGAACACCAAUUGCGAAGGCAGCUUACUACGGGGUCAUUGACACUGAGGCACGAAAGCGUGGGGAUCAAACAG